GUAAUAGCUCACUAGUCGAGUGACGCCGCGCCGAAAAUUUACCGGGGCUAAGCAUGAUACCGAAACUGUGGAUGUGCAUUUAUGCACGUGGUAGGAGAGCGUUCUAGCGGCGGUGAAGCAUGACCGAGAGGACAUGUGGAGCUUCUAGAAGUGAGAAUGCCGGUAUGAGUAACGAAAGACAGGUGAGAAUCCUGUCCGCCGCAAGACUAAGGUUUCCUGGGGCAGGCUCGUCCGCCCAGGGUAAGUCGGGACCUAAGGCGAGGCCGAGAGGCGUAGUCGAUGGACAACAGGUUGAAAUUCCUGUACUGCACCGAAUCGUUAUGAGCGAUGGAGGGACGCAGGAGGCUAGCAGCGCGUGGUGCUGGAUACCACGUUCAAGCGUCAAGUCUGAGAGUGAGUCAAAUGCUUGCUCUCAUAAGGACAAGGCGUGAUGAGGAGCGAAAUUAAAGUAGCGAAGGCUGC
rnacentral:rRNA from 1 species